rnacentral:rRNA from 1 species
AUGCGGCGACCCCCGGCGAAGGGCGCGACGGGCGGCUCCAGCGGCGAUGGCAGGGCGACGAACGGCGCGGGGAGGAUGGGCGUACGGAGGCCCUCCCGUGGUGUGGUGUCCGUUGGGAGGUGGAAGGGGGGUGGGGGAGGUCGUGCGGGUGUUGGGAGGAGAGGGGAGAGGUCGUGCGGGCGGGCGUUGUUGGAAGUGAUUUUUUUGGUGCAGGGCCAGGGCCCCUACAGCGGUGUCUCGGACGGCCGGAUCCUCAAGUGGAACGGCGAAAAGCUAGGAUGGACUACCUAUGCAUAUGGACCCGGGUAUGAUAGCAAGACAUGCACGCUGUCCAAGUUCAGCCCGGAGACUGAGAAUGCCAGGGAGAGCCGCUGCGGCCGCCCUCUCGGCCUACGGUUCAACCAGAAUUCGGGCGACCUCUACGUGGCCGACGCGUACAAGGGACUGAUGCGGGUAGCGCCGGGCGGCGGCGAGGCCACCGUGUUGGUCAACCAGGUUGACGGCUUUCCUCUGUGCUUCACCAACGGUGUUGACGUCGAUCAAGUUACGGGUCAGGUCUACUUCACUGAUAGCUCGAUGAACUAUCAAAAGUCACAGCAUGAGAUGGUGACUCGCACUGGGGACUCGACGGGCCGCCUCAUGAGCUACAACCCACGGACAUCCGAUGUCACGGUGCUCCAGGCGGGCAUGACGUACCCCAACGGCGUCGCGCUCAGCGCCGACAGGUCCCACCUCGUGGUCGCAUCUACCGGACCAUGCAAGUUGCUGAGGCAUUGGAUCGAAGGGGUCAACGCAGGCACAUCCGAGCCUUUUGCCGACCUGCCCGGAUAUCCAGAUAACGUGAGGCCCGACACCAAAGGAGGCUAUUGGGUGGCGUUGCAUCGCGAGAAGAAUGAGUUGCCUUUGGUCGUGAUAGUCAUCGUCUCGCUGUCAGGGUCGGUAACGAUGGGAAGAUAG